rnacentral:rRNA from 1 species
UGAAUACGAGAUGCUACGGCGUCGAAGCAGUCUAUGUCAUACUUCCAAGAAAAGCUUGCACUGUCAUAAACAAAUAAUGCCUGUACCAUAACCGACACAGGUGGGUAGGUAGAGUAUACUAAGGGGCGCGAGAUAACUCUCUCUAAGGAACUCGGCAAAAUGACUCCGUAACUUCGGGAGAAGGAGUGCCUUAUUUAUAAGGUUGCAAUAACAAGAUCCAAGCAACUGUUUACCAAAAACACAGGUCUCCGCUAAGUCGUAAGACGAUGUAUGGGGGCUGACGCCUGCCCAGUGCCAGAAGGUUAAAGAAGUUGGUUAGCAUCCGCGAAGCUGAUAACUGAAGCCCUGGUGAACGGCGGCCGUAACUAUAACGGUCCUAAGGUAGCGAAAUUCCUUGUCGGGUAAGUUCCGACCCGCACGAAAGGCGUAAUGAUUUGGAUACUGUCUCGGAGAGGGGCUCGGUGAAAUAGACUUGUCUGUGAAGAUGCGGACUACCUGCACCAGGACAGAAAGACCCUAUGAAGCUUUACUGUAACCUGAAAUUGAAAUUGGACUUUACUUGCGCAGUAUAGGUGGGAGGCGUUGAGAAUAUUCUUGCGGGAUUAUUGGAGCCAUCAGUGAGAUACCACUCUUGUAAUGUUAGAUUUCUAACUUUGUAUCAUUAUCUGGUCAAAGAACAGUUUCAGGCGGGCAGUUUGACUGGGGCGGUCGCCUCCUAAACGGUAACGGAGGCGCACAAAGGUUUCCUCUGAACGGGUAGAAAUCGUAUCUAGAGUGUAAAGGCAUAAGGAAGCUUGACUGUGAGACCUACAAGUCGAGCAGGGACGAGAGUCGGUCUUAGUGAUCUGACGGUGCUGAGUGGAAAGGCCGUCACUCAACGGAUAAAAGUUACUCUAGGAUAACAGGCUGAUCUCCCCCAAGAGUUCACAUCGACGGGGAGGUUUGGCACCUCGAUGUCGGCUCAUCGCAUCCUGGGGCGGUAGUACGUCCCAAGGGUUGGGCUGUUCGCCCAUGAAAGCGGUACGCGAACUGGGUUCAGAACGUCGUGAGACAGUUCGGUCCAUAUCCGGUGUAGGCGUUAGAAUAUUGAGAGGAGCCUUCUUUAGUACGAGAGGACCGAGAAGGACAUACCUCUGGUGUACCAGUUAUCGUGCCAACGGUAAACGCUGGGUAGCUAUGUGUGGAGUGGAUAACCGCUGAAAGCAUCUAAGUGGGAAGCCCACCUCAAGAUAAG